rnacentral:tmRNA from 1 species
GGGGGUGAAGAGGACUCGACUUAAAUUGCUUUGUAAGAAGAGCAUGUAGAGCAUGCAAGAUUGCUCUUAAAAAUAUCUUGCAAAAAAUAAACGCAAACACACCAGUGUUUAACCGGCUAACAGCGCCGAUAAUGGCGCCUUUAGCUGGGGGCGUUGGAAUCUGUCUGAAUUAAACAGACAGUCUCUUAAGUAAGUUGCUUGCGGCUUACUUAAGGGGAACUUAGCAAGCUAGUUUGGGCAAUUUGUCCUUGUUGCUCAAACGAAACUCUAAAGGACUAUAGUUUAUUCAAUCCUGCCUAUCGGAGUGAAUAAACUGAAAAUAAAAAAUAGGCUAAACAUGUAGUGCUUCUUAUGAGGUAAUUUAAGGACGCGGGUUCGAUUCCCGCCACCUCCACCA